rnacentral:lncRNA from 1 species
CAGGAACUCUGAUGGCAUCGACUAUUCAAUUACUUUGUGGUCCAUGUGGGUAUGAUGACGCAACUAAGGAAGCGAGAAGAUGGUGUACUAACUGUGAUGAAGGAUUGUGUGAAGACUGUGAAAAGGCUUACAUAAAAAACAAAAUAUCGCGAAACCAUAAGAUUAUCUCGAUUGAAGAUUACCGCAAGAUUAAAAAUGUUUCUAUCUCUGAAGUUUGGGAGAAAUACGGAGAAAUCUUGAGUGGUUUUGUAAAACUCACGACAAAUCCCUCUGCAUGGUUUGUGUCACAUCAAAUCACAAGCCAUGUUCCGAUGUUAUAUCAAUAAAUAUUGCCCCAAGAAAUGCCAGUCAAUCAGCAGUAUUGUCUGACUUUGUAGGGUCAAUAGAUAGAACACUUA